ACAAGCCCCAAAUUAUACUCGGCAUGCCCUCACUGUAGUCUGCAUUGGCAAUGGUAUGAAUUGUAUCUUAGGUUUUAAUUGAUGAUGUGCAUGCUAUGGAGAAUGUUCUUCUUUGCUGGCUUGGUUCUGGAAUAGAACUUGGUUACCUGCAAGUUCUUAAAUUAUUGUAGUUAAGCACUAACUAUUUAAAAGAUGCAGCAAUUUAAAUCUCGAGGACAUUCCUCUGAACCUGAAAAAUGACAUGCAGUAAUUUUCCCCUAACCUGCGGAGUCAUCAACUUAGCAAGAACCGAUUCAGUCUCCUAUAUCCCCAUAUAGGAUAAUAUGCUAACGUAUAAAGAUAGAUUUAUCUACAUGGACAAUAAGGUUUAUUAGUUUACUUCUACCUCAAAACUUAUGAGUCAUGCAAGUGAUCUGCUAUCAGUGACUGUCUUUGUUGUCAGCAUGCUAGUAGAUUAGGCCUUCUUCCAAUAAUUCACUUCUUUUUUAGUUAUUGGAAGAGGGGGUUCAAACCCCUUAAAACUAAAACGUUGAUGCAUUCAAUAGCUUGUAUUAUAUAAGCAGUACAACUACUUCUAUCAACUGCUAUAUUUGUUCAUUUUAUCUGCCAGCCCUGAGUGCAUUGUAUCUAUAAUUUGAAUCUUUCCUAUGAAAUGUCUUGAACUGACGAUAAACUUCCCAUUGUUUAAUUUGAACAUAAGGCUAAUGCCGGUCAGCCCAAGACUUCCCUGGUUUCAUUUUAUGUCUAUCCUAAUCCCCUCCUGUUAUUUUUACAACUCAUUGCGUCUAAAAUCACUGUCUUUCAGAACUGCUUUUACGUGGACUUGAAUAUGCAUAAACUUGCUAAUAUUUGAAUGGUGAAUCGUAAUGCAGGAAAGUUCUAUACAUUGACAACUGGUGCAAAUGAGAGGAGAUGGGGGAAGAUGAAGGAUAGACUACAGACUGUGGUUGAUUCCUUCCAAAUUUUCAAUGUUUAGUAUUAACUUCAGUAACACUUGCUUUUUUGUUGUUAAAAUCCCAGUUUUCAUCUUUAAAUAACUGCGAUCAGAGGUUGUAUAAUUAAUGUAGAUAUGAGUGUCGUGCCUAUUCUCACCCAUUGCUUGUCAAAAUAACAUUACUGAUUUUAUGGCCGCAGCCUUUAUAGAAUACUCAUUGUUCUAUUUCAAUAUCCCUGUAUUUUCUUUUCUUUUCUGUACUGCCCUUAUUGUAAAGAAAACAUUCCCUACGAACACGACUAUUUUUCUUUCUUACAGUAAAAUUUCAUACAUUCGUUUUAUUAGAGCACAUCAUUUUCAUGGCAUGUAUAAGCCCUGAAAUCAUGCGUAAAAAGCUUUGUGAUUUGUUUUUACCAUUCACAGCAUAUGUGCUCUAAAUUAACAGAUAAAGAAUGAGAAUGGCAUGCAAUUCUAUUAAAGCAUGAUUCUUCUAUUAUUUCUUUGACCCCAUAAUUUUCUCCUGGUGGUCUUUCUUUAUUGAGCCAAAUUCCUGGUUGGAGCUCAUCAGGAAAUGAUGAUCUUAAAAGAAUAUGUACGUACACACACACAUAUAUUAAGUUACCCUCUAAAUAAAAAAGGCAAGCUUUGUGUCAUUUUCAUGGGUACAAGAUCAUGUUUCCCUGUUCCACACAGCAGUUUUUUCCAUGUAUAAUAAACAUUACUUUAUCUAGGUUUCUUUCAGAUGAAGCAUGCUACCUUUAAUUUAUGCCCUUAAACAUCAUUAUAUGCCAUAAUGCUGUCACUAGAUAAAGGGCCAAAAAAAAAGGCCAGGUUAGGCCGUUUCAUGGGAUCCCCAUUCACAUUAGCAGCCAGUAGCACAAACUCCUGUUUAAUAAUUAAGAUUAACUCAUAUAAAUAUACCUUUUAGAUAUGUGUCAAAAUUGGUUCAGAACAGCACAUAGUGAUGGCCAAAUAUAUUGUAUUGUAUUGUCCACUUUUUUUGUAAUUGGCAUAAACUUUGCUCUUUCACAAACAGAGACAUACAAUGUAUGAAAGAUAAGAAGCAAGGGUGCCCCUUGUUUAUGGUUUAUUUAACAUGUCCUACAAACACUAAGCACCUCUAGUGUAUGUAAUAAUCAACCGCACAUAGGGAC
rnacentral:lncRNA from 1 species